rnacentral:rRNA from 1 species
UCGAGAAUCUUCGGCAAUGGACGCAAGUCUGACCGAGCGACGCCGCGUGCGGGAUGAAGGCCUUCGGGUUGUAAACCGCUGUCAGAGGGGAUGAAAUGCAUGGUGGCUAUCCAUCAUGUUUGACAUAUCCUCAGAGGAAGUACGGGCUAAGUUCGUGCCAGCAGCCGCGGUAAUACGAACCGUACAAACGUUAUUCGGAAUCACUGGGCUUAAAGGGUGCGUAGGCGGCGUUGCAAGUUGGGUGUGAAAUCCCUCGGCUUAACCGAGGAACUGCGCCCAAAACUGCAGUGCUCGAGGGAGACAGAGGUGAGCGGAACUUAGGGUGGAGCGGUGAAAUGCGUUGAUAUCCUAAGGAACGCCAGUGGCGAAAGCGGCUCACUGGGUCUCUUCUGACGCUGAGGCACGAAAGCUAGGGUAGCGAACGGGAUUAGAUACCCCCGUAGUCC